GGGUUGUGAGGUUAAGCGACUAAGCGUACACGGUGGAUGCCCUGGCAGUCAGAGGCGAUGAAGGACGUGCUAAUCUGCGAUAAGCGUCGGUAAGGUGAUAUGAACCGUUAUAACCGGCGAUUUCCGAAUGGGGAAACCCAGUGUGAUUCGUCACACUAUCAUUAACUGAAUCCAUAGGUUAAUGAGGCGAACCGGGGGAACUGAAACAUCUAAGUACCCCGAGGAAAAGAAAUCAACCGAGAUUCCCCCAGUAGCGGCGAGCGAACGGGGAGGAGCCCAGAGCCUGAAUCAGUGUGUGUGUUAGUGGAAGCGUCUGGAAAGGCGCGCGAUACAGGGUGACAGCCCCGUACACAAAAAUGCACAUGCUGUGAGCUCGAUGAGUAGGGCGGGACACGUGGUAUCCUGUCUGAAUAUGGGGGGACCAUCCUCCAAGGCUAAAUACUCCUGACUGACCGAUAGUGAACCAGUACCGUGAGGGAAAGGCGAAAAGAACCCCGGCGAGGGGAGUGAAAAAGAACCUGAAACCGUGUACGUACAAGCAGUGGGAGCACAGAGCAAUCUGUGUGACUGCGUACCUUUUGUAUAAUGGGUCAGCGACUUAUAUUCUGUAGCAAGGUUAACCGAAUAGGGGAGCCGAAGGGAAACCGAGUCUUAACUGGGCGUUAAGUUGCAGGGUAUAGACCCGAAACCCGGUGAUCUAGCCAUGGGCAGGUUGAAGGUUGGGUAACACUAACUGGAGGACCGAACCGACUAAUGUUGAAAAAUUAGCGGAUGACUUGUGGCUGGGGGUGAAAGGCCAAUCAAACCGGGAGAUAGCUGGUUCUCCCCGAAAGCUAUUUAGGUAGCGCCUCGUGAAUUCAUCUCCGGGGGUAGAGCACUGUUUCGGCAAGGGGGUCAUCCCGACUUACCAACCCGAUGCAAACUGCGAAUACCGGAGAAUGUUAUCACGGGAGACACACGGCGGGUGCUAACGUCCGUCGUGAAGAGGGAAACAACCCAGACCGCCAGCUAAGGUCCCAAAGUCAUGGUUAAGUGGGAAACGAUGUGGGAAGGCCCAGACAGCCAGGAUGUUGGCUUAGAAGCAGCCAUCAUUUAAAGAAAGCGUAAUAGCUCACUGGUCGAGUCGGCCUGCGCGGAAGAUGUAACGGGGCUAAACCAUGCACCGAAGCUGCGGCAGCGACGCUUAUGCGUUGUUGGGUAGGGGAGCGUUCUGUAAGCCUGCGAAGGUGUGCUGUGAGGCAUGCUGGAGGUAUCAGAAGUGCGAAUGCUGACAUAAGUAACGAUAAAGCGGGUGAAAAGCCCGCUCGCCGGAAGACCAAGGGUUCCUGUCCAACGUUAAUCGGGGCAGGGUGAGUCGACCCCUAAGGCGAGGCCGAAAGGCGUAGUCGAUGGGAAACAGGUUAAUAUUCCUGUACUUGGUGUUACUGCGAAGGGGGGACGGAGAAGGCUAUGUUGGCCGGGCGACGGUUGUCCCGGUUUAAGCGUGUAGGCUGGUUUUCCAGGCAAAUCCGGAAAAUCAAGGCUGAGGCGUGAUGACGAGGCACUACGGUGCUGAAGCAACAAAUGCCCUGCUUCCAGGAAAAGCCUCUAAGCAUCAGGUAACAUCAAAUCGUACCCCAAACCGACACAGGUGGUCAGGUAGAGAAUACCAAGGCGCUUGAGAGAACUCGGGUGAAGGAACUAGGCAAAAUGGUGCCGUAACUUCGGGAGAAGGCACGCUGAUAUGUAGGUGAAGCGACUUGCUCGUGGAGCUGAAAUCAGUCGAAGAUACCAGCUGGCUGCAACUGUUUAUUAAAAACACAGCACUGUGCAAACACGAAAGUGGACGUAUACGGUGUGACGCCUGCCCGGUGCCGGAAGGUUAAUUGAUGGGGUCAGCGCAAGCGAAGCUCUUGAUCGAAGCCCCGGUAAACGGCGGCCGUAACUAUAACGGUCCUAAGGUAGCGAAAUUCCUUGUCGGGUAAGUUCCGACCUGCACGAAUGGCGUAAUGAUGGCCAGGCUGUCUCCACCCGAGACUCAGUGAAAUUGAACUCGCUGUGAAGAUGCAGUGUACCCGCGGCAAGACGGAAAGACCCCGUGAACCUUUACUAUAGCUUGACACUGAACAUUGAGCCUUGAUGUGUAGGAUAGGUGGGAGGCUUUGAAGUGUGGACGCCAGUCUGCAUGGAGCCGACCUUGAAAUACCACCCUUUAAUGUUUGAUGUUCUAACGUGGACCCGUAAUCCGGGUUGCGGACAGUGUCUGGUGGGUAGUUUGACUGGGGCGGUCUCCUCCUAAAGAGUAACGGAGGAGCACGAAGGUUGGCUAAUCCUGGUCGGACAUCAGGAGGUUAGUGCAAUGGCAUAAGCCAGCUUGACUGCGAGCGUGACGGCGCGAGCAGGUGCGAAAGCAGGUCAUAGUGAUCCGGUGGUUCUGAAUGGAAGGGCCAUCGCUCAACGGAUAAAAGGUACUCCGGGGAUAACAGGCUGAUACCGCCCAAGAGUUCAUAUCGACGGCGGUGUUUGGCACCUCGAUGUCGGCUCAUCACAUCCUGGGGCUGAAGUAGGUCCCAAGGGUAUGGCUGUUCGCCAUUUAAAGUGGUACGCGAGCUGGGUUUAGAACGUCGUGAGACAGUUCGGUCCCUAUCUGCCGUGGGCGCUGGAGAACUGAGGGGGGCUGCUCCUAGUACGAGAGGACCGGAGUGGACGCAUCACUGGUGUUCGGGUUGUCAUGCCAAUGGCACUGCCCGGUAGCUAAAUGCGGAAGAGAUAAGUGCUGAAAGCAUCUAAGCACGAAACUUGCCCCGAGAUGAGUUCUCCCUGACUCCUUGAGAGUCCUGAAGGAACGUUGAAGACGACGACGUUGAUAGGCCGGGUGUGUAAGCGCAGCGAUGCGUUGAGCUAACCGGUACUAAUGAACCGUGAGGCUUAACCUUACAACGCCGAAG
rnacentral:rRNA from 1 species